AUUGAACGCUGGCGGCAUGCCUUACACAUGCAAGUCGAACGGUAACAGGUUAAGCUGACGAGUGGCGAACGGGUGAGUAAUAUAUCGGAACGUGCCCAGUCGUGGGGGAUAACGUAGCGAAAGCUACGCUAAUACCGCGUACGAUCUACGGAUGAAAGCGGGGGAUCGCAAGACCUCGCGCGAUUGGAGCGGCCGAUAUCAGAUUAGGUUGUUGGUGAGGUAAAAGCUCACCAAGCCUGCGAUCUGUAGCUGGUCUGAGAGGACGACCAGCCACACUGUAACUGAGACACGGUCCAGACUCCUACGGGAGGCAGCAGUGGGGAAUUUUGGACAAUGGACGCAAGUCUGAUCCAGCAAUGCCGCGUGCAGGACGAAGGCCUUCGGGUUGUAAACUGCUUUUGUACGGAACGAAACGGUGAGCUCUAAUACAGUUUGCUAAUGACGGUACCGUAAGAAUAAGCACCGGCUAACUACGUGCCAGCCGCCGCGGUAA
rnacentral:rRNA from 1 species